CGGAACCCGGGAAUCUUCUGGAAGGCUGGCGGUGGAGCCUAGCUGUUAGCUCCCUCCGGGUCCGAGGUCUGAGCCGCGCAGGCGCGGCCUCCCUGCUUCGAAAUGGCAGCAGGAGCUCAGCAGUGGAGGACGAAGAGAGGGCCCUGCUCUGGCCGGCAGCGGAGCACAGCGGCCGCCAGCGAGGGAGGACGCCAGGGAACACCUGGUCCCAUGGCACUCUGUCCACUCUUGGCUUCUUCCACAUGUUUGUAAGCGGAUCAGAACACCCAUCUGCUAUGGUCUUUGAAAUGUAGAGUUGCACUGAUGUGUAACCAACUUCCUUCACACAGAAUUGAGAUCAAAGCCCUCCAGGAAUGGUGGACUGUCAUAGCUCAAAGAGCCAGCCAGAUCAUCCACUGAAAACUUCAUUUUUUAGAUAAAGAAAAUGGAGCCCAAAAG
rnacentral:lncRNA from 1 species